rnacentral:rRNA from 1 species
AAUAAGUUUGGGUGUUUAUUUCGGGGGCUCAACUCCGCGUGGGGAUUGGAAUUUGGGGUGACUUAGGGCGCAGAGGGGGAGUGGAAUUCCACGUGUAGGGGUUAAAUGUGUAAAGAUUUGGAAGGAACAGGAUUGGCGAAGGGGUUUCUCCCGGACUGUUACUGACGUUGAGGGUGAGAUAACCGUGGGGAAGCAAUACCCGUUUAGAUACCCGGUUUCUUCCACGCUGUAAACGAUGAAUGCCAGGUUUUGGGGGUUUUCGAUCCCUUUUUUGCCGAAGUUAACCCCUUAAUCCUUCCGCCCCGGGAGUUCGGUCGCCAGACUAAAACUCAAAGGAAUUGACGGGGCCCCCGGCCAAGCAAUGGAGUAUAAUGUUUAAUUAGAAGCAACCCCAAGAACCUUACCAGGUCUUUACCUCCCUUUUACCCGUCUAGAGAUUGUCCUUUUCUUCGGGACCGAGGACACAUGUGGUGCAUGGUUGUCGUCAGCUCCUGUCGUGAGAUGUUGGGUUAAAUCCCGCAACGAGCGCAACCCUUAUGCUUAGUUGGCAGCAGGUCAAUCUGAGCACUUUAAGCAGACUGCCCGUGACAAACCGGAGGAAGGUGGGGAAGUCGUCAAAUGCUCAUGCCCCUUUUUACUUGGCUAACACACGUACUCCAAGGGGCCGUACAACCCGAAGCCAAGGAACGAUCCGGAGGCAAUAUGAAAAAAUCAGGGCUCAGUUCGGAUAGUAACCUUCAACUCGCUAGGCAGAAGUCGGAAUUGGUAGUAAUCACCGAUUCGGUUCUUCGGAGAAUACGUCCCGGGUUUCGUACCCUUCACCCCUCACACCACCAGAGGGCGGCACCCGAAGCCCGAGAGUAGCUCCUACGACAUCGACAUGUCUCCUAGAUGCGGCUAAUGC